GAUGAACGCUAGCGGCAGGCUUAACACAUGCAAGUCGAGGGCAGCAUAAACAUUGCUUGCAAUGUUUGAUGGCGACCGGCGCACGGGUGCGUAACGCGUAUGCAACCUACCCAUAACAGGGGGAUAACACUGAGAAAUUGGUACUAAUACCCCGUAAUAUCAGGAAAGGCAUCUUUUUUGGUUGAAAGUUCCGGCGGUUAUGGAUGGGCAUGCGUUGUAUUAGCUAGUUGGCGGGGUAACGGCCCACCAAGGCGACGAUGGAUAGGGGUUCUGAGAGGAAGGUCCCCCACACUGGAACUGAGACACGGUUCAGACUCCUACGGGAGGCAGCAGUGAGGAAUAUUGGUCAAUGGGCGUAAGCCUGAACCAGCCAAGUAGCGUGAAGGAUGACUGCCCUACGGGUUGUAAACUUCUUUUGUAUGGGAAUAAAGUUCAGUACGUGUACUGUUUGUAUGUACCAUACGAAUAAGCAUCGGCUAAUUCCGUG
rnacentral:rRNA from 1 species